ACUCCUACGGGAGGCAGCAGUUAGAAAUCUUCCGCAAUGGACGGAAGUCUGACGGAGCGACGCCGCUUGGAGGAGGAAGCCCUUCGGGGUGUAAACUCCUGAACUGGGGACGAAAGCCCUGAUGAGGGGGAUGACGGUACCCAGGUAAUAGCACCGGCCAACUCCGUGCCAGCAGCCGCGGUAAU
rnacentral:rRNA from 1 species